CCCAAAGCACGGACGGGAUGUAAAGUUUGGGUGCCGCGACUGCUCUCGUUACCGGCCCCACGGGUCUGGCAGCUCCUCAUGGUCCCGGUCGCAGGUAGCGUCCCGCCGCUGCCUCGGACCCGCCCCAAAUCUCACCGUCUGAGCGAACUCCGGGUAGCGGUGAGUACCGGCCGGCAGGCUGGGGACUGGGCGCGGCACAGCGACGCCAUCGCUGGGAGGUAGGAGCUGCCGGGACUCCCUCCCGUCAUUCCACCCGG
rnacentral:lncRNA from 1 species